CCGCGGACGCUCAGCCGCUCCGGGGAGCGCGCCGAGGCUCGGAGCCGCGGGGGCGGGAGCGGCCACAGCCUGGGCCGGGCGCGCGUGCACACGGGCGCGCGGCCUCCGGGCGGGAGCGGGAGCCCGCGCCGCCGCGAGUCCCGGCUCCGGGGAGAGGGUUGCGGCUUGGCGCCGGGGCCUCCUCCGCGCGCCCCGCCCGCCCGCCGCCCGCUUAACCCUUUCCAGGACCCCGGGACUUCCUGCCGAGAUGCGGGCUGCAGGCGUGGAGGGCGGCGCCACCUGUCCCCACGACGGCCCCACGGCCGAGGCUGGGGCCCAGCUGCGCCCCGGUAUUCCAGGAUAAAAGACAAAAACGUUGCGAACGCUCAGAGGAAACUGCUGAACUUUGUUCUUCUGUCUGGAAGUGUGGCCUCAACCAUCUCUGGCUCCCUGCAGCUCGGACCUGGCGUAGGGCCACAGGGGGACCCUCUGGACCUCACCGAGAACUUCAAGUGUUAGCUCCACAAAGCCAGUGGACAAGGGAGACACUUCCUCUGACUUCAGCUGCUUUUUAGUCCUACAUACAGCUGCUUCCUGCCCAGACUUUGCCGGUUUCAUACACUGCGAGGCUUUUGGAUUUCAGCGCCAGAGCUAACACCCUGAGAACAUCCUUAAAAAACGUUUUCAUUCUGCCAAGUGGAAUACUUUACCUCGGGAUUUGGAUCAAAGGAAGCAGAAACCAAGCAAACUACUGGGAUGUAUAUUUUUAAAUUAUCAGUUAACUAUACCAGAAGCAGAUCUUUGGGGGGCUGAACUCAUUCCCAUCAUGCUCCAUUUUUGUUUUGUUCUCUUUACUCCAAAAACAUUCCAAAAUCUACUGGGAUCUCUUUUAGCAGAUGUUCUGUUCACCUUCACAUGGAGACUGUGUGUCACUAGCUCACCCAGCUCCAUUGGCUUAAAGAUGCCUGGAGUGGAGUUUUAAACUUAUUUCCCAGCAAUGCCUCCAGCCCUUACCCCCAUUCUUUCGGGGGAAACUUUAGGCUGACCCACAGCUUUAUAGCCUCACCCACGUCCCCCACCCACUUUUGUGGAUUAGGAUCCAGUGGCCCCUAAGUUUUCCCCAACCAAAGGUGGAGUACUGGCCUGUCUUCUCUACCGCUCUCCAAACUUCCAGAGAUCAGGUACGUCGCAUUUAACUUUUCUUCCCGCGGGAUCUUACUAUGCUUGCCAUAUACUAUAGGUUCUUAGUAAAUGUUUAUUGAAUGAGCGAAAAAGUAAAUGAAUUAACUUAAAAUAUUCAUCCAACCCAUGUGCCAUCUGGUAGAUAAGGUGUGUGGGGAACCCCAUCCAUUUUCAGACUUUACAUGUUUUAUUUUUAAAAACAUACUGUGGUCCCAAUAUGGCCAAUGGAAAUUGCCAGGGAACGAUCCAUGCAUUUAAUUAGGAAGUCAUUCAAACUACAGGGACAUCCAGAGUCCCUGAAGUCAAACAUGGGAUCCAACAAUACCCAGAAGAAGAAGGACUUGUCAUAAACAUUAAAUAACGUCCAUUCCAACAGUAUUUCAAGAAUAUUAUUAUUUUACUGUUUUAAAUUUUCCACUGCUCAGAAAGAGCCUAACCACGCAUGGCACACUUGAAGAAGUGUAUAAAUGAGCCGUGCAGAGCUGUAUGAGAUAUAAAUGAAAACGUAAGUGAAACUCAGAAUUGCCCUGGGUGAGAUGUUGUCCAGCCCCCUAAUAAAUGCAGGGUCUCCCGGCCUGGGCACCAGGCUUAGGGGACUCUGACCCCCAUCUGGAAACUGCAUGGGGAGAGCAGAGAGCACAGCUUUGGAAUUCAACAGAUGGGAUUUCAAACACCAAUGUCACCAUUUCUCCAUCUUAAGAAAUUUGCACAGAACCCCUGACCUCUCUGUGUUCUUCUGUCCUCUUCUGUCUGACCAAGGUGACACAUGCAAGGCAUUUAGUGCAGUGGGUCUUAACUCUAGCGGGAGAACAGCCCCACUCGUCACCUGUGACUUUGUCACUGCCCCUCUGGCUGAGUGUCAGCAAAUACUUUCUGCGCUCCCAGUUCUGUGCUUCUGCGUGUCGUUUUCAUCACACAACACCCAGUACUUACAGAAGAUUCAGGCGACUGGGCAGUCCAACAUUGGGCCCUGUUUGGGUGCUGGACACUGGUUUUCUACUCGUGCUGAUGCCAGAGAGCAGAUAGUUUCCCCAAAGCUUAAUAGCCCCUAAGAGUUGAUGCACUCCUGCCUUCCAAUAAAAAGCAAUUAAAUUCCAGUAGCUGCCAGGAAUCGAUCCCGUUGCUACAUAGUACUUUGAGUCUCUUGGCAUGAAAAAUUAACCAGAAUAUCUGUGUGUUGGUGUGGAAACAUCAGUCCCUGCGGCCUUGAACAAUUCUGCCCGUGUCGUACGAACACGAAGCCAUCUCCUACACAGAGCUCCCCGAAAUUCCCCUGGCCCCACCGUGACUACCCCCUUCGGCUCUGAUGGCUCUGGGUCCGUUUGCCGUGUCGUGUAAGCCAUUUCUUCAACAUGGUGAAUAUUCUCCUCAGGCCUGAGUUUUCCCAAGCAUCUAAUUAGCCCGUGCCUGAGAAUGUUACACCCGAAAAAGAGGAAUGUAAGUGCCCUGAAAUACUGUUGACGAUUGGCCAUUAACUGGUUGUGUACUGACCGUGUACUUGUGAUGUCACUGCACACAUUUUCUGUUAUGGACAGUCCCGGGUUUAGGAGAAUACCUGAGCGGUCCUGAUCUGAAUAGGACAGUGGAGACCUUUCUUUUUAGCCUCAAGCCCCAGGGCCAGCACUGUGAGCAGAUCAAGCUGUGCUCAGUGCUGGUCCAGUCGGUGAGAGGAGGAAGCCUGAUUGUGCUGAGUGUCUCCCUCCUGCCGUCCUUCAUCACUGUGGGCAGCAGAAGGAGGGGGGUGGGGGGGGCUGGCAGGCCACCAGGAGGCCAACAGUUCCUGUCAAGUGAGUCAGGACUGCAAUCCCUAAAGGCCGUGAAGUUUAUUAGUGCUGAUUCUGGUAAACCUUCUCUUGGAAAAGACAUACCAACUGAACAGUUACUUUUAAAUACUUUAAAGGCAUGUGUUUAUCCUGUUAGAGCAAGUUAUUUACAAUCAAAUACGAUCUCACAUGAAUCUUUGCGGUAUACCUACACGUAAGCGUGCAUGUAACUCCGCAAAAUACCCAGGUGUAGAUACACGCACUGCCAGAGGGCAGUUUCACAGUUGAGGGAACGAACUCUCUCUCAAAGAGUCCGAUGUCACUCUCGUGUCACGUGCGGCCGAGCAGGGAUGCUAGUCCUGCCCAACCCCGGGCCCUUCUUCACAUUGACAGUGAAACACCUGUCUUUCCAAAUGAACGAGUCCGAUCUUCCGAGUACAGAUCAAGGAGGAGGCACAAAACCAUACUUUGUGUAACGGGAAUCGAUAUGUUAAAAAUAAAAUCGGUUUCCUAGUACAUCUCAGUGGCUUCAUCCUGCCACACUGAUUUCACCCCAAGCCCCAAACACUUUGUGCUGUGAGUGAAGGGUUCGCUUUUCCAGCCGAAGCUGCCCGGUGCGUGAGUCUCCCGAGGCCGGGGCGGGGAGGGAGGGUGUUGGCCUUGCAACCUGGGGGAUGGGUCCUUCUCUGCCUUAAAAACCAUUCUGCUCAACACUCCUACUUCGCACAGUGGGCCUGCAGGAACUUUCCGGAAGGGAGUCUCCUGCCGCUCGCCCACUGCUCUAGUAGGUUAGGGCCAGGACGGGAGUUCUCUCCUGGACAAGCGGCACUGGGGACGCCCAGUGGUGUGGGUGCAGCAGGAGGGCCCGGUGCCUUUACCGCCACGCCGGGAAGGCGGUCCCCAGAGAGGGGUGCCUGCUGUUCUCAGGUCAGUCUCUUCUACAGCACAGUUCUCUCACUACACAAGGAAUGCUCGUGGGGCGUCUGGGUGGCUCGGUCAGUUAAGCAGCAAGGUCAGGAUCUUGCGAUUCGUGGGUUCGAGCCCCACGUCAGGCUCCUUGCUGAUGGCCAGGACCCUGCUUGGGAUUCUGUCUCGCUCCUGCUCUCUGCCCCUCCUCUGCUCUCUCUCUCUCAAGAUAAAUAACUUUAAAAAAAAUCCAGUUAAAAAGAAAACAAUGUCAGCAAUGCCUUAGGUGAGGUGCAAGGUUAAAUGAGACAAAAACCAAACUCAAAAUGGAAGCACAGUGUUACUGUCUCCCACUGAUAACACAGGGACUGCAAAAAAAGUUUUUUUUUCAAGUUUUCACACAGUAAAGGUCUAAUUAGGAAAUCUCAAAAGUAUAAACUAAAUAAGGACACCUUAUCCAAUUAACCCCAACUUAAAGGUUCUUAUGGGUUAAGUUGUGUCCCCCCGACCCCCGAUAAAGGCAUGUUGGAGUCCCAGCCCCUCAGAGCGUGACCUUAUUUGGAGAUGGGGCAGCCAACUGAAAUGAGCCGGUUAGGGCGGGCCCUAACGCAAGGUGAGCGGGUCCUUCCAGAAGGAGACUCCGUCACAGACGUGGAUGGGCACAGAGGGAGGCUGAGUGAAGGCAGAGGCAGAGGCUGGAACGAUACGGCCACAGCCGAGGACGCUGGCGAGCUCCGGCCCGCAGACGGGGAGGCCGUGACGCAGGGGUGCCAGCCUGGCCUACGGACCGUGGGAGGGCACGUGUCCCCUGCCCCGGCCUCCCGCGGCCCUUCCUUACGGCAGCUCUGGGAAAGCAGGACAGGGGUCUGGGGUCUUCGCCUCUCAGACGGUCUGCUGUGGGGGAGCACGUGGCUGUUUUCCUUGUUUUUAGCCCGCUGAGGACUGGCCUUCUCAAAAUACGAUACAAAUGAAUGGGUGGACAAAGGAGAGCUUGGCAAGGAUACACAAUACUUCCUUGGGAAGCAUACAGCCACUUCCUCGGGAUGCAGUUAAACGGGCACACGGCAUUCUGUCAAUAUGUCACCCGCGUCUCUGCUCCGCACGCGGCCUGGGGACAGUCGGGGACCCGGCUCUGCUGGAGGAUGUGGGUCUGAGGAGCAGCAGGCUGUCUGUCGGCUGGUCCUCGAGAAGCCCCGGGCCACGGCACCCAGGGCGGCACGGCUGGGCUCUCCCGCUCCGUCUGUCCGGACCUCGACUUCCCGUGGGGUUGGGCAAUGGGCUCGAGGAAAAGUAGCCGUGGGGUGGGGGAGGGGUGGUCACAAAGGGGCUCUAAACUAUUUCCAAUAAACAUACACAGAAUCCGGGGCGCCCGGGGGGGCUCAGUCAGUCAAACACCCGACUCCUGAUUUCGGUUCCAGUCAGGAGCUCACGAUUGGUGAGCUCGAGCCCCACGUCGGGCUCUGGGCUGACAGCGCGGAGUCUGCCUGGCAUUUUCUCUCUCCCUCCCUCUCUGCCCCUCCCCCACCAGCUCUCUCUCAGGAUAAACGAUUAAAAGUCUGUACGUGGACACGGAACCUGGCGGCCGGCCAGGCGGGCCUCCGCGUCUUCCAGCACACAGCCCCUUUCCCGCCGCUCCGGGGUUCGGCCGGGUGCCCGCCAGAAGAGCGCUCCUGAGGGACAUCGAAGCCGGAGGGCCUGUGUGAACCCUGGCCUUUCGGGUGCGCGAUGCUCUGGUUUUGUGGUUACAGAGAUGCUGGACGCUGCUUCCUCGGCCCCGCUCCUGCGCUCAGCCCCCCAGAAGCAGGGGGCGGCCUCGGCCGGAGGAAGGGCCGCCUGGCGCAGCUGCAGGGGACGGGACCCCGCAGCUCACAGUCGUUCUGUGCCGCCGCAGGAGGCCCGGGGCCACCAAGCCUUCCCAGCUUCCUCUGCCUUCCUCCCGAGAGGCCUCUGCCUCCUGCUGUGUCUCCCCUCCUCGGGCAUCUUUGGGGUCCCGCUCGGGAGGGAGCCUCCGUGGGAGGGGACCCCCGGGUAAGCAGAUGACGGCACUGAGCUCCUGCGAUCAUCCGGACCCUUCCAGCAAGGCCGAGCCGGGCGCCUCCGGGAGCCGCCGGACGAGAUGGGCGGAAAUGUCCACGCAGGAAAGCGGUUGUGUUACGGGAGCCUCCCCGCCGCACCUGUGUCGCACCUGACACGGUGCGCGUCCGGGGGCUGCUCCCAGCUCUGCGUCCAGGCCCGCUCGGGGCCUCUCCGAAGCCUGCCUGCCAC